AAUUCAUGAUGUGGACAUAUAUUCAUCAGGUCCUUGAAUCUCUACCAGCAGGCUUGGAACGUCUCGUCACCUUUCUGUAUGAAAUGACAUAUUUGCUCCUGUAGGU